rnacentral:rRNA from 1 species
GAUGAACGCUGGCGGCGUGCCUAAUACAUGCAAGUCGAGCGAACAGACGAGGAGCUUGCUCCUCUGACGUUAGCGGCGGACGGGUGAGUAACACGUGGAUAACCUACCUAUAAGACUGGGAUAACUUCGGGAAACCGGAGCUAAUACCGGAUAAUAUAUUGAACCGCAUGGUUCAAUAGUGAAAGACGGUUUUGCUGUCACUUAUAGAUGGAUCCGCGCCGCAUUAGCUAGUUGGUAAGGUAACGGCUUACCAAGGCGACGAUGCGUAGCCGACCUGAGAGGGUGAUCGGCCACACUGGAACUGAGACACGGUCCAGACUCCUACGGGAGGCAGCAGUAGGGAAUCUUCCGCAAAGGGCGAAAGCCUGACGGAGCAACGCCGCGUGAGUGAUGAAGGUCUUCGGAUCGUAAAACUCUGUUAUUAGGGAAGAACAAAUGUGUAAGUAACUAUGCACGUCUUGACGGUACCUAAUCGGAAAGCCACGGCUAACUACGUG